CGCCUUAUACUCCUACGGGAGGCAGCAGUGGGGAAUAUUGGACAAUGGGCGAAAGCCUGAUCCAGCAACGCCGCGUGAGGGAUGACGGCCUUCGGGUUGUAAACCUCUUUCAGUAGGGACGAAGCGCAAGUGACGGUACCUACAGAAGAAGCACCGGCCAACUACGUGCCAGCAGCCGCGGUAAUACGUAGGGUGCGAGCGUUGUCCGGAAUUAUUGGGCGUAAAGGGCUCGUAGGCGGUUUGUCGCGUCGGGAGUGAAAACACGGGGCUUAACCCCGUGCCUGCUUCCGAUACGGGCAGACUAGAGGUAUGCAGGGGAGAACGGAAUUCCUGGUGUAGCGGUGAAAUGCGCAGAUAUCAGGAGGAACACCGGUGGCGAAGGCGGUUCUCUGGGCAUUACCUGACGCUGAGGAGCGAAAGUGUGGGGAGCGAACAGGAUUAGAUACCCGAGUAGUCCACGUACCA
rnacentral:rRNA from 1 species